CAGUAGCCGCGGGAAUACGAAGGGGGCUAGCGUUGUUCGGAAUUACUGGGCGUAAAGCGCACGUAGGCGGAUAUUUAAGUCAGGGGUGAAAUCCCGCAGCUCAACUGCGGAACUGCCUUUGAUACUGGGUAUCUUGAGUAUGGAAGAGGUAAGUGGAAUUGCGAGUGUAGAGGUGAAAUUCGUAGAUAUUCGCAGGAACACCAGUGGCGAAGGCGGCUUACUGGUCCAUUACUGACGCUGAGGUGCGAAAGCGUGGGGAGCAAACAGGAUUAGAGACCCCUGUAGUCCCUGUCUCUUAUAC
rnacentral:rRNA from 1 species